AGGAGAUUCUAUUCCAUCAGCUGGUACUGGACUUGACUGGGCUACCAACACAUGCCUUCCACACAAAUGAUCAUCAGAAAUAGAAGCAUAAUUAGUUUCCUUUCGUUUCUGCUCAUAUUUGACAACUUUUGCCGCCUCAGAUCUAAGAAAGAAACUCAGAAGAAUAAAGAUAUUUGAUAUGAAGGGAUAAAGAAAACCACAAAAAAAAUGUAAUGGUAAUAUUUCCAUCCCGCAAGGGCUCCCUCAGAUAUAUGCUCAUGCCUUAACUCUAGAAGAAAUACUCUUCCAGAAUGAAUAGUAUAAAACAGUAUGAGUUCUUGGUAAGAACCAUUAGCAUAUGCUUGCAACUUAGCAGUCAACAAAGCCAAAAUAAAAUGGACACUUACAUGCCAUUGACUCGGUUGUCAUCAUCAAUUAGAGACCUCAAUGACUUGGCAUUCUCACAGCCAGUAUCCUCAGCACUGUACUGAAACACAUUAGAACCAUUUUGAGAGGUACCUUUAGCAGCUUCAUCAACCUGUGAGAUAAGACUUGGGCUCAUCCGAGAAUGCUCCAAAACAACAUCUUUAUUAAGAUUUUCAUCUCCGACAUCUCUUAACUCAACAUUUUCAGAAUUGAUCUCAUCCUUUGUACGUAGUAACUGACCAGAUGAGCCAUGAUUGGAUUGCAGACUGUCUCGUCUUCUGUCAAAAUUUGGUGUGAAAUCUUUUGUACUUUGUUGUAUGGUAAUAGCAACAAUGUCACCUCCAAAACAUGAUCUGCCAAGGUUUUUGCCACAAUCAUGGUCCAAGGCUUCUGUCAAGACAUCUUCAUAAUGCUCUUGGCUCUUAGAACUUUCGAUUCGUUGAUUGCAGAUGUCCUCUUCUAAUGGUGGAUUUAUGGAUUCCUCUAAGACUCUUUUAGAGCUGGAACAUAAUGCAGAGGCCCUACAGCCAGGA
rnacentral:misc_RNA from 1 species